UCCGACUUCACGUCGGCAGUCUCGUUUGAGUGCCCGGCCGAACCGCUGGCAACUAACGACAAGGGUUGCGCUCGUUGCGGGACUUAACCCAACACCUCACGACACGAGCUGACGACAGCCAUGCAGCACCUGUCUUGGGACUCCGAAGAGGGGCCGUGGUUUCUCACGGCUUUCCCCAAGAUGUCAAGCCCAGGUAAGGUUCUUCGCGUUGCGUCGAAUUAAACCACAUGCUCCACCGCUUGUGCGGGCCCCCGUCAAUUCCUUUGAGUUUCAGCCUUGCGGCCGUACUCCCCAGGCGGGGUGCUUAAUGCGUUAGCUUCGGCACGGGGGGAGUCGACACCCCCCACACCUAGCACCCAUCGUUUACGGCGUGGACUAC
rnacentral:misc_RNA from 1 species